UACGUAGGGUGCAAGCGUUAAUCGGAAUUACUGGGCGUAAAGCGUGCGCAGGCGGUUAUGUAAGACAGGUGUGAAAUCCCAGGGCUUAACCUUGGAACUGCAUUUGUGACUGGCAGGCUAGAGUAUGGCAGAGGGGGGUAGAAUUCCACGUGUAGCAGUGAAAUGCGUAGAGAUGUGGAGGAAUACCGAUGGCGAAGGCAGCCCCCUGGGCCAAUACUGACGCUCAUGCACGAAAGCGUGGGGAGCAAACAGG
rnacentral:rRNA from 1 species